GCUUCUCUCUGAUGGACUUGGGAAUCCCCACUGUAAACUGGAGACUCUGAGGCUGUCAGGCUGUCAAGUCACAGAGGAAGGCUGUGCUUCUCUGGUCUCAGCUCUGAAGGCAAAUCCCUCACACCCAAGAGAGCUGGAUCUGAGUAACAAUGACCUGAAGGAUUCAGGAGUGAAGCUUCUCUCUGCUGGACUGGGGAAUCCCCACUGUAAACUGGAGACUCUGAGGCUGUCAGGCUGUCUAGUCAC